CGGAAACACGGACGCAUCGAUCCUCGGGCACCACAGCUACACGGUCGCCCGUCGAACCGGAAGCCCGGUCCGACGGCCCGAGGGGAGCGAGUGGCGAGACCGGCCGUGACUUGA
rnacentral:ncRNA from 1 species